rnacentral:rRNA from 1 species
GAUGAACGCUGGCGGUAUGCUUAACACAUGCAAGUCGAACGAAAGUUUUUAACUUUAGUGGCGAACGGGUGCGUAAUACGUGAGAAUCUGCCCUUAGGAGGAGGAUAACUGCUGGAAACGGCUGCUAACCCUCCAUAUGUCGAGAGAUGAAAUAAUUUAUUGCCUAAGGAUGAGCUCGCGCCUGAUUAGCUAGUUGGUGAGGUAAUGGCUCACCAAGGCCACGAUCAGUAGCUGGUUUGAGAGAACGAUCAGCCACACUGGGACUGAGACACGGCCCAGACUCCUCCGGGAGGCAGCAGUGAGGAAUUUUCCGCAAUGGGCGAAAGCCUGACGGAGCAAUACCGCGUGAGGGAUGAAGGAUUUUGGUCUGUAAACCUCUUUUCUCAAGAAAGAAGUUCUG